rnacentral:rRNA from 1 species
GAUGAACGCUAGCGGGAGGCCUAAUACAUGCAAGUCGAACGGUAACAGGUAGCAAUACGCUGACGAGUGGCGCACGGGUGAGUAACACGUACACAACCUGCCUAUGACUGGGGCAUAACUUCGGGAAACUGAAGCUAAUUCCCCAUAACACCGCGACGAGGCAUCUCGAUGCGGUUAACGCCCCGGCGGUCAUAGAUGGGUGUGCGUUUGAUUAGCUAGUUGGUAAGGUAACGGCUUACCAAGGCUACGAUCAAUAACUGGUCUGAGAGGAUGAUCAGUCACACGGGCACUGAGACACGGGCCCGACUCCUACGGGAGGCAGCAGUAGGGAAUAUUGGACAAUGGAGGCAACUCUGAUCCAGCCAUCCCGCGUGAAGGAUUAAGGCCCUAUGGGUUGUAAACUUCUUUUCUCUGGGAAUAAAAACCGGGAUUUAUCCUGGCUUGAAGGUACCAGAGGAAUAAGCACCGGCUAACUCCGUGCCAGCAGCCGCCGUAAGAC